UCUUUCGUUUUUACAGUGGAGAAAGGCUGGUGGGAGGCCAGGCCGUGGCCGCACACCUGGCGGGUGCGGCCCAUCGAACCCGUUACUGGGAGGGCCGGCAAGUCGGGCUGCUGUUGCAGUCCGACUACCGGGACGCCAUGGAGCGUAUCCGGACCCUAUGAUGAUGAUGUAUGUAUGAAGGUCUGGAGCUAGCUGCCGUCUUCGGGAUGUGCCAUUUGUUUUCAAAAUUAUUUACUCAUCCAAGUCAAUUAUUUAAAUAAAAGUGUAUUAU